CCUGGGCGAAAACAUCACAUCGCAACCCCGAUUAAAAAAUAUUAGUUCGGUUACGAUUAUAGCCGUACGGUCUGUUGCGAUUAAUAUUGUACGGUCGCGGUACAAUUUUCGCUUGUGGUUUUACGCGCGGCAAACGGUUAGGUUUUUUUCUUCUUGUUUUAAACCGCAGCGUUUUAGAUUCUGAGCAUACAUAUCGUGUAACUCGUUGGUUAUAUC